GCAUAUAAAUGUCGAAUCCGCUGAUCAAAGUCUAACAUAUCGAAAAUUUCAACAUCAACUCAACAUUACUUACAUCAUUACACUAUUUACAAUGUUCAAAAGCUAACAACAAAGUCUAGCUAAUAUCUAUAAACAAAUAAUCUAACAAUUUAAUUAUCAAUUGAAAUUAAUAAGAAUAAUAAUUAACAUAAUUAAUAGAGCAAAGCAAAAAUGAAGGGGGUGCAAACAUAAUGAAGUGAUAGUAUCUAAAUAAAAAAGUUUGGGUCAAGCCCAUCCCAAAAUGAGAAAUAGAAAAGAAACUCUAAACAUUUAAAUUUUAAUAAUAAUAAAUAAAUAAAAUUAAAAAAAAUGAUGGGGGAAACCGUUUCCCUUGCUUAUCAUAUCCAGAAAAAUAAAAUGGUCAAAUCAAAUAAAACUUCCCAUAAGGUUCAAUAGGGUGGCGCCACGUGGCCACCCUUUAUCACCAUUAAAUGGAACAAACCCAAGGAAAGGAAAUACUGAAAAACAAGAAGAAACAAAGCAGAUCACAAAUCAUAUUCUCUUUCUCAAGCUCAACAUACACAAAUCAACACAUUUCUAUCUUAACACAACAUGAAAAUCACACCAAAAAUUAGGAUAGAAAUAUAAGUUACCGAACAAUAAACGAAACAAGUCGAAGCAAAGAAUAUAGUGGUCGGCGAUGAUUGAAUGUGCUUCAACAAUGUGUCGUGCGCUUGGAGGAGACAUUUGUUGAUGUCAUGGUGUAAGACAAGUUGUCGUCCACGCGCGAAAAUGAAUUAUGGUGUGACUAACGGACUUUGAAGGCGACUGCGAUGUGGAAACAGCUCCGACAGAGAGGGUCCGUUGAUGAAGCUAGAAGGGAAGUUUGAGAUGUGGGAUUUGACGUGAAAAUAUUGAUGAGAGAGGGUGCAAUUUAGGAUGGCAGUGGUGAUGGAUAUAUGAUUUCUAUGAGGGCAUUAUUGUGUUGUUCGUCUGGAGGUUAGUGUUUUUUUCACAGUUGGAGAAUGGUGUUUAAGAAGUUGAUGAUAUGUGAAGCUUCGCAUCGGUGGCGAUAGCAUUGUAAGGUGAAGUUGUUGUGCGAUUUUAGCACAGUUGGUUGCUGGUUUGUUUGUGUUUACACAGUUCCUGUGAAUUAUAACAUUGAGGAAAAGAGAUUGUGAAGAUUCAAGGUUGAUGAUAAAUGCCUUGUGGGUUGUGAUGGUUUCGAAGGGGAAAGUGUUUGGGAUGCUGAGUUUUGUUUGUUGCUUCAAGAGUUGUAGGGUGAUGGAUCGGUUUAAUGGUAUUGGAAGGAUUUAUGAGGUGUGUUGUGAGAAGUUAUGGAGUUUAAGGGUGGUGUUGGAGGUGAAGAAGCAAGGCGCAGUUAGGUUGUGAUAAGGAGGUGUGUAUUGUGGAUGUGAAAGAGUGUUGCAGAUCGGUGGUUUUCAUGGAGUUUGGAUGAGUGAUAUGAGUGCAUAUCGGAAAUACACGGUGGUUAUGGUGGAUAACGAUGGCGGUUAGUUCUUGGAGGACGAAAUUUUAAUGGUGAGUUAUUGCAAGUUCAUGGUGAGGGUGGAAAGGUGUUAGUGGAUAAGUGAAAGGAUGUAGCUUGGUUUGUUGAAUGAUAUGAAUAGAGGUGUAAAAAAACCCUAAAUGAGAAAGUCUCAAUUAUUAGGCCUCCUGUUUGGGCCCGUUUUUUUAGGCCUUCUAUUAAAUUAAUAAAUUAUUGGUCCCUUAUUUUUAA
rnacentral:lncRNA from 1 species